rnacentral:misc_RNA from 1 species
UUGUUUCUCAAAACAUUCGCAGUGACCACCUAAGAGCUUUCGCCUUCACCAGGCUUGAGAGCUUGUGCUGCUUUAUCCUUCCUUGGAUGUCUGAAACCCAAUUCCUGUGGUAGGCUUCAGUAUGUGUUUUAAGUUUUUGUUUGGAAAUUGAAGUUUCAGAAUCGUUUCAGAAGUUGCCUGUUAUCGUUUUGUUUGGUUGUUGGCCAAGGCAGUGUGUGAUUUUGGAAUUUACUUUCAACAAAAUUCUUCUUGUUAUUGAAUGUAUCAUUAGAAUUUAAUUUUUUUUUUUGGCUAAAUAAUUCAUUUUAAUGAAGCUAUCAAUUAUUUUAUAAUAUUCUCUUUAUGAAUAUGGUUAUAAUUUUACUCUCUGUUUUGAAUUAUGAUCUGGCGGGGGAUUUCCAUGAAGAAAUCCUUUACUUGAGUUGCAGCAAACAAGAAAUCAAUGUUUGUAUAUUCCAUAAGUAAACGUCAGAUAGAAAUUCUCUGAUGCGUUGAGGUCCUCCACCAAUUUUAGGUGGAGCUCCUCCGCGAGAAGAGCAGGACUCAUAUUCCAUCGCCUUGUGUAGCGGCAUCGUCGCCAUUACAAUUUGGGACUGGCCAUGAGUCAGACAUUGUUAUCUAAAUGGACAAACAAAUAGAUGGUUUGAUGUGUUUGUAAAUUCAAAAGUAAACAGGCAACAGUAGGGCUCAUGGGACCUGAUAUGAGACUUGUAUUUGCUUUACUAAUGCUUUUUUUGGUGGUUUGGUUAUACAAUGUUGCCAAUGAUGAUAUCAUUAUACCAAAUUACCAUCUUUUGGGACUGAAUGGCUUUAAUGCCUUGCUGUCAUUCUGCAAUUCUGAGGCACAUUGGUUUUGCUUCUUUUGCUUUUCUCAAAUAUGUGUCAAAAGAUAAGGGCUCAGAGGGUGUUUGGAUGAGAGGGUAUUUGAUUUAACUGUUUAUAGGCGCAUAAGUAGAUGAUAUUAAUAUAGUACUUAUUAUGAGUUGGUUUUAUUUUUAAAAUUAUCUUUGUUAACAUGUAGUUAAUUUAAUUUUUUAUUUGAAUGAUGUUAUUUUUUUUUUAUUAACUUUGAAAAUUAAUGUUAUGAAUAUUUUAUUUUUUUUAUUUAUAAUUAUAAUUUUUUAAUUAUUAUAUUUUAAUUCUAAUAAAAUAUUUUUUAUUGACGAG